CCGGGGAGAGAGAGAGGGAGGGUGGUGAUGUUUGGGUUUGGUUUUAUUAUGAGUUUAAUCUUUUUCUCCCUUAGUUCUGCAAAUUUUUUUUCCCCAAAACAGACCAUUAAGCACAAAGCCAGUGUUGUACCGGGCCUCUGCCAAGAAGAAACAAAAGAGAUUUUCUGCAGCGUGUGCCCUUGGUCGCUCCCUGUCCAGCUCUGGGUAAUCCAGGUGCCAUCUUUCUUGACAGUCUGGAGGAACCAGGUGAGCAAGCUGCCCGGCGACAGGGAGUUGCUGCUAGCUGACUGACGGCCAAAGGCUCAGUCAUACCACCGCUCAAGGUCUGGUAGCAAGAGCUCCUUAGCCCACAUUUGGCCAGGUUUAGAACGCGUUUGACCAAUUAGCCAAACAAGAGUUUCUGAGUGUGGCUUUGUGCCCAGCACCAUGCUGGAAACAGUGGGUUGCGUAAGGGAAGUGUCUGUGCCUUGGGCUCUGCCCUUAUGGAGAUCAGUCUGGCCGAUGGAAUACGACCAAUGAAACCAAAGCAAUGAGAGAAUUGUGAAAGACAGCAAUACAAUGAAGGGUUAGAUUUUAUGGCACAGAAUGUAAAUGUUAGAGUAUAGGGUAAAAGGAGAUGGAUGAAGGCUGGAGGGGGCAGGAAAAGGCUCAUGAAGGAGGAGGUUUGUUAGCUGGGCCUUGACAGGGGUGUAGGAGUUGCAUUGGUGGAAGGGAGAGUGGCAUUCCAAGCCAGGGAAGCUAUCUGAGAGAAAUCUAGGCGUAGAAAAGAACAAGGACUGUUUACAUGGCAGAGGCAAAACUGGCAUGACUGGAGUAGAGGGAGAGCAUCCUAAUUCCUAAACCUAUUGCCUACUUUGCAAGAACCAGGAAAAGGAAUUCCUAUGGCUCAUAAAACUGGUUGACGGUGAUCUAGUCUGUCCUAUUUCGCCUCCCACAUUUAUAGCUCUACGUGAACUUUGGCAAGUCACAUAACCCCUUUGAAACUCACUUUCCUCCCCUGUAAAAUGGUGGUGAUAAUACGCGUCUAAUCGAGUCACUUCGAGAAGUAAAAGGGAUGAUCUGUGGAGGCUCGCAGGGGCCA
rnacentral:lncRNA from 1 species